rnacentral:rRNA from 1 species
GACAGAGGGUGCAAACGUUGUUCGGAAUUACUGGGCGUAAAGCGAGUGUAGGCGGUUUGGUGAGUCGGAUGUGAAAAGCCCCGGGCUCAACCCGGGAAGUGCACUCGAUACUGCCAAGCUAGAGUAUCGGAGAGGUUGGUGGAAUUCUCGGUGUAGAGGUGAAAUUCGUAGAUAUCGAGAGGAACACCGGUGGCGAAGGCGGCCAACUGGACGAAUACUGACGCUGAGACUCGAAAGCGUGGGGAGCAAACAGG